UCUAAUGUGGCAGAUUAGUGCAAUGAAUUUAAGCUUCAACUAUAAAUUAAAAUUUCUUUAGAA
rnacentral:tRNA from 1 species